ACACCCCUCACCCCACGGUGUUCAUUCACCUGUGGCGGUGGAAUCUGCGGCUCGAGCCGGCUCUUUGAUGGCCGGCUCGUGGCGCCAAGUCAAGCUCUCGUCGCGCCGUCUCUUGACACUUCGGUUCGUCCGAGGCGGGGUAUCAGGCUUUCGAGCAUUUACCACCCGGCCGAGAAUCAUAAGUUCGCACUUCGCAAGGAGCGCGGGGAGGCGGCGGAGAGGACCAGUCCCGAGGCUCUUCGGAGCCGAGGGACACCGUCUCUAUAACAGGAGACACUCAUUU
rnacentral:misc_RNA from 1 species